rnacentral:rRNA from 1 species
CUAUUUGUGGGGGAUAACGUAGGUAAACUUACGCUAAUACCGCAUACGACCUACGGGUGAAAGCGGAGGACCUUCGGGGUUCGCGCAGAUAGAUGAGCCGACGUCGGAUUAGCUAGUUGGCGGGGUAAAGGCCCACCAAGGCGACGAUCCGUAGCUGGUCUGAGAGGAUGAUCAGCCACACUGGAACUGAUACACGGUCCAGACUCCUACGGGAGGCAGCAGUGGGGAAUAUUGGACAAUGGGCGCAAGCCUGAUCCAUCCAUGCCGCGGGUGUGAAGAAGGCCUUCGGGUUGUAAAGCACUUUUGUCCGGAAAGAAAAGCAUUGGGUUAAUACCCCGAUGUCUUGACCGUACCGGAAGAAUAAGCCCCGGCUAACUUCGUGCCAGCAGCCGCGGUAAUACGAAGGGUGCAAGCGUUACUCGGAAUUACUGGGCGUAAAGCGUGCGUAGGUGGUUUGUUAAGUCUGAUGUGAAAGCCCUGGGCUCAACCUGGGAAUGGCAUUGGAAACUGGCUUACUAGAGCGCGGUAGAGGGUAGUGGAAUUCCCGGUGUACCAGUGAAAUGCGUAGAUAUCGGGAGGAACAUCUGUGGCGAAGGCGACUACCUGGACCAGUCUGACACUGACGCGCGAAAGCGUGGGGAGCAAACCGGAUUAGAUACCCUGGUAGUCCACGCCCUACACGAUGCGAACUGGAUGUUGGGAGCAACUUGGCUCUCACUAUCCAAGCUCACGCGUUAAGUUCGCCGCCUGGGAAGUACUGUCCCAAGACU